rnacentral:rRNA from 1 species
UGAGGAAUAUUGGUCAAUGGGCGGAAGCCUGAACCAGCCAAGUCGCGUGAGGGAAGAAGGCCCUGCGGGUCGCAGACCUCUUUGGACGGGGAGCAAGUCCGCGGACGUGUCCGCGGAAGGAGAGUACCCGUAGAACAAGCAUCGGCUAACUCCGUGCCAGCAGCCGCGGUAAUACGGAGGAUGCGAGCGUUAUCCGGAUUUAUUGGGUUUAAAGGGUGCGCAGGCGGCCCGACAAGCCGGCGGUCAAAUCGCGGGGCUCAACCCCGUCCAGCCGUCGGAACUGCCGGGCUAGAGUGGGCGAGA